CGACAGCCCAGAAAGGAAACGGAGGAGGUUGCGCUUCUCCUGCUCGGUGCAUGCGGUGGCAGGAGAGGCCAAGAACAGUAGCAGGAUCAGCUGCAGCACGACCGGAGGAAUGGUGAAUGAAUGCAUUGGUUGAAAAACCACUUCAUGGUUGUGUUUUUCUCAUGCUUCCUGUCAGUUCCUCAGAAAUCAUAUUAAUGUCAUUUCCUUUGGGAGAAGUCUUGAACAAAAGCAGAAUUAAUGGUACAUAUCACAUAUGCAUCAUCCAUCAAUGUAAUAUUCCAGAUGCACAAAGAAUGGCCAUGGAUU